UCCAUUGGGGUCUUGGCCGUCUCCGUUCCCAGGGUUUUCCCUUUCUUUUCAUCCCCUCUGUCAUCUGAGGAUCUCCAGAUGUGUUUGGACUCAAACUUCCUUGACUUUUUACCUUGACGAAGAGCCAUAUUCAAACUGUGAGGGGAAACAAAAAGGCUAACACAGUGUUUGUGUCUCCUUUCUCUGUUCUUAUCCGGGACCUCUAACCUCGCCUCAGUGUUUUGUUAUUGUAUUAUUGCUUUCCUAGACAGCAUUCGGCAGGAGACGACAGAAAAAAAAGCCAAUCCAAACACCCGAAGUUGCAACUGGAAAACAUUUGUGCACUCCUGCCUUUUUUCCUUCUUCACCUUACUCAUCACUCCCUCAAGCUCCUUCUCCUCCCCUACAAUGCCCACAUUCUUCUUCUGCGAAGCACACGCACGCUCGCGAUGGCACACUGAUUGCUUUCUUCGUCUCUCUCGUGGGCUUUACAGAAAUUUGGCACCACUUUUUUCUCCCCCAUCGACACCACAAAACAACCUGAGGAACUGCUGCACUGUGUCGAGAUCAACGGCAGAUUUUUUGGCAAGAAGAAAAAAGAGAAAAAUGAUCUAACCAAACAAAUGCUACUGUGAAACUACUGAUGCAGCAAGUCAACCACUGCUGUUUAAAAGAGCAAACAGGAGGAAGCCAGAGCACCCACUGUGAACCCAGCCAGCGAGUCGAGGCAUCAGACUGCACGACAGUGUCUCCCCUUCUGUGCUCCAUGUUUCUUCCAGAGGAGUCAGCAUUAUGCCGAUUGACUCCACUAGAAGCAUGUACAGGCUUUACAGAAAGAAAGUAAGAGCAAGCACACAUGCACUUCCCCUUUGGGGUGCUCACCAUGCACCCUGUAGAGUCAUGCCUGAGAGGUCCGUCAGCUCUCUUGUGUUUGCUGUGACUUUGCUGCUCAAGUUCAAUGCAUGUUCACUGACGGUUCACUGCAGGAUGAAAACGACCUUCGGGCCACCGUGAAAUGCUCUGGCAGCUUGCAGAACGUCACACAUUUAUUCUCUGAAAAGCAGAAAUGCAUCUUCAAAGAAUGAUUUAAUUUCACUGCAAUUUAGAAAUGCAGUUGGUGAGAGAAAGUGUGAAUAUGUGUUUAUGUGUUACUGUUUAGAUCUCCUCUAGUAAGCGGAACAGCUCACAAAGAUGCAGGAGAGAUGUGUGCAGUCUGUGUCUGUAUAGCUAUUUAAUAUGACUGUAUGCAUUCAGACUCAUGCUGUGUCAAAACUGAUGUAAAAGCUAGGAAGUGGCAAUAAAAACUAAACUAGGUGUAAAACCUUUGUAAUUAAAAUUUUAAAAACUAGAAAAGAUAAUAGGUGCAUUUCCCUUAAUGUCUUUUAUAAAUGUAUUCGAUGAUAUGCAUGCAUAUUCAAAUAGAACUAACAGUGAAAUAACAGUGAAAUAAAUAAAAUAAAAAACACUUCCAGGGGGAAGCUUGCUCUCAAAACUAAAUUAGGAGAAAAGUGAAAUGAACUUAAAGAAAAAUGCAUUAGUCUUCAGUGCGUGUGUUUCUGUGUGUGUCUUUUUUAUGUGCUGCAGAGCUAAUGGCAACCCAACGAAAGACACAUCUCUCUUCUGUAUUGAAAAUGUCAAACAUGCAUCAUCAAAGAAUUUCUUAAUCCUUUUGCAAGUGAGAAACUGAGCGUAUCAGACACCAGACAUACAGUUAUAUAAAAUGUGCUUCUCCAUUUCUGUAAGAGA